GGGCGACAGAACUGCGGCCUACUUUUAACAACUCAUAAACGACAAUAUUCCAGAAAAGAGCUAUGUCUCCAUUUAAAGGUGAAAUACUUUCUCAAUCCCAGUUUAAAGUAAAGAGUCAGCUACAAAUCCCCCUCCAGAGGAUUCAGAGAGAGGACUGCCAUCAUCCCCAGGCCUCUGGUUUCUAGAGACAGCUGACGGUAUUUGCCUCAGCCUAAUGCACUAUCAUGUGCAACGUUAACACUCACGAGGGACGUUGCUCUUGGUUUGGUCUCCAUGGAGCUAAAUUAUAAUGACAAGCAUCGCCUGAACAGCAUCCUGAACCCAGGGAAGAGCUGACUGUGGCAUCAUUUGAGAGCGUAAUGUCUGCCUGUGCGGCCCAGACAGAGAGACAGGGCUUCCCCCUGACACCAGCAUUGAUUCUCCCAUUGAAAGACUCUCCUUUCUUUCCUGUAGUAUUGAUGAAUGAUUCAUGAGGCUGCACAACGAGUGGAACUUGGCAGUGCACUUUGGACAGAGAGAUUGUGUGAGGAUCACACGGGCAGAGAUUAGCCAAUGCACCUAUUUUCAGAGACGGCUCGUGGCCGUGGACCCGUGAGGGGCAUCAGUAUAAAAUCUCCUUAAUAUGUUGGGCUCAUUAGCUUUUAAUGUUUUUAUAAUGGCCAGAUGCUUGAGCCUCAUGUACACCAAAGCAAAAGGCCCCUGGAUAGUAUUUAUGCAACUGAAUUAGCUCCUACAGGAGACCAGACCUUCUUGUUGUUGUACCACUUUUUUUUUGUGCUGCAUUAUAACAGUAACAUUGAUGAAUUAUUUGUUUUUUGUCUCAGUUAUUGAGGUACAAUGAAAUCUGAAGUGUGCAUGUGUGUGUAUGAAAAUACUUGUUUGCUUAUUUGCUUUUAUGUUUGUUUUUUGGACGGUUAUUUGUUAAUUAAUUAAUUAAUUAUUUUUUUAUUAAUUAAUAAUUCAAAAAAUUAUUAUCAGC
ensembl:lncRNA